AAGGAGUCUAACAUGUAUGCGAGUAUUCGGGUGUUAAACCCAAGUGCGAAAUGAAAGUGACAGAUGGGAACCCUUACGGGUGCGCCGUCGACCCGACCUGAUGUUCGUUGACGGGUCCGAGUAUGAGCAUACAUGCUAGGACCCGAAAGAUGGUGAACUAUACCCGUACAGGGUGAAGCCAGAGGAAACUCUGGUGGAGGUCCGUAGCGAUUCUGACGUGCAAAUCGAUCGUCAAAUCUGGGUAUAGGGGCGAAAGACCAAUCGAACCGUCUAGUAGCUGGUUCCCUC
rnacentral:misc_RNA from 1 species